GACAGUGAAGAUGGUUGGUAGGAAUUUUCCCAAGCAAACCUCACCACGAUGCUCAUGUUUACUGGACCGAACUAACGCGGAACAAAUGAUAACAAUUAGAACAACAGCUUUGUUGGCUGACGGGUCGGACGUGCUGAGGGAUGAAACCCCCGCUGGUGCGUGUUGAGAGAAAGAUGAGCCUCUGCAGACGGAUGCUGGCUGCAUUUGAAAGAGAAGCGCUCUCAUGCUCCUCGCUCUGCGGUUUAAAGCUUCAGCGACGUUCACGAAGAACUAAUUAUCUGAGCUUCUUCUUCAACCGAAGGAAAUCUGUUACCCGAGUGAUGAGCCGCGGCAGACAAGUUAAAGUUCUGGUUUCACACAUGAGACACGUUUAUCUGUAUCCCAAACAGACCGAAAUAGAAAUUGGAGGCGCUGAAACAGCUUUGGACAAACACGGCGUGAGGAAGCGUCUCUGUUUGGCAGCUGCGCUGUGGUGAACUGCGAUCAGCCGUCUGGGAAGCAUGGCUUCAUGGGCUGACUGAAAACAAGCGACCGGCUGGUUUCUGCUGCAAUCAACAAGAAACAAACAUGUUAGAUUUAUGUUUACAGAGCAGACUGAGACAUUCCAGGAUCUUUUAAAUAGAAAACUAAAAGAAAAGUUAGCUUUCUUUUAGUUUUCUAAAACUAGUGAUACGUCUUUCAGCUUUUUUCAGUGGCUUUGGCGCUUUUCUCGAAUCAUCUUCAGUAUUAUUUACAAAGCAGUAAGCGAAUCUCUCAAAACAGAAAAACAUCUGCAAACGUCCGUCUCCUGCUCAAAAUCCUAGUUCAUCCCUCAAAAUUAAAUAUCUGUCAGUGAACAUGUCAGCGCCUCAAAUGAUGAGUUUUUGUUUCACUGUUGGGAUAAGAAGGUGGAACUGCUUCAUCAUGUUGUCAGUAUAACUGUACUCUGGAGGGACACUGCGGUAAACUAAAGUUUUGAUGACAUUUAUUGUAAGUUGUAAUUGUGGGAGAUUACGUAAUGGAAAGAUUUACAUUUAGCCUUUUACUGUUUGUAUUGUAAUCUGUUGGCAGUCCACGUGAUUGUAAAGGAAAAGUCAAAAAUGCAGAAAUUAAAGGGGAAAAAGGAAUUAGACUUUGCAAUUUAAUUUCCUGUCUCUUUAAGAAGCUUCUGCUCUUUCUGACUGUCACUGACAUAGCGGUAGCUGCCAUUAACUUUGUCCUCUUUGUUUUCCAUCCGUCCAUCUUUGUUCCUGCAGAAUCCCAGUGGUGAGAUCGGGGUUCAUCCUGAUUUGGUUUUUCUUUCCAUAGAUCGUGCCUCUGGCCAGUGCUUCUGUGUUUAGCAGAGUUUCUGUUCUGGACAAAGACACUGAAGAACCUGUUGCUCCCUUUGCUAGUUGUGGCUCAUACUGAACAUGAGUUUGUUAAAAGCUGGUGGUUGCUCUCCACUGUCACCACAUGCUUGACUCAGAAUGAGGGAUUGCUGCAAAGUUAAUAACUGGAUGCGUUUCACUUCAGAUCUUUGAAUGCAUUGUUUGAUCUACUGCAUCUGGUCCUGUGUUAUACAGUGAGAAUCUGUCUCACUGUAUGAGGAAAUGCACUUAUUUGUCUUGUAAAGUCCCUUAACAUGUUAUAUGUUGUUGCCCCAAUGCUGAACUGAACUAAACUGAAUAUUUUAUAUUUAAUUAGA